rnacentral:rRNA from 1 species
GACGAACGCUGGCGGCGUGCUUAACACAUGCCAGUCGAACGGAAAGGCCCUGCUUUUGUGGGGUGCUCGAGUGGCGAACGGGUGAGUAACACGUGAGUAACCUGCCCUUGACUUUGGGAUAACUUCAGGAAACUGGGGCUAAUACCGGAUAGGAGCUCCUGCUGCAUGGUGGGGGUGGGAAAGUUUCGGCGGUUGGGGAUGGACUCGCGGCUUAUCAGCUUGUUGGUGGGGUAGUGGCUUACCAAGGCUUUGACGGGUAGCCGGCCUGAGAGGGUGACCGGCCACAGUGGGACUGAGAUACGGCCCAGACUCCUACGGGAGGCAGCAGUGGGGAAUAUUGCAUAAUGGGCGGAAGCCUGAUGCAGCAACGCCGCGUGCGGGAUGACGGCAUUCGGGUUGUAAACCGCUUUCGCCUGUGACGAAGCGUGAGUGACGGUAAUGUGUAAAGAAGCACCGGCUAACUACGUG